UAAAAAAAUAGGAUCAUCCUUACAUGUUCCUCUAUUCAGAGGGCAGAUAGAACAUGAUGGAUGGAGUUUCAUAAUUCGUGAUUUUUAGUGUCUCUGUAUGAUUAGGGCUCACAACACCCUAAUAAUUCCUAUCCCAU